AUGAAAGAGGUUUUUGCUCUUGUUCCAUGUUUCCAGUUUGCUGGUCUUCUUCAGAUUUGCUUACGCAGAGGCCGGUAUAAAUUUCCAGGUGGAAGAGACGAGUUGCUGACAUGUUUGUUUGGUCUGAGCCAGAGCUGUCAGCCUGGCCUGCCCGGGCCUCAGAGCGAUGGGCUCUUGACUUCCCCGGGCCUGUUCCCCAGUUUUUUUUUUUUUGAGAGAUAAUACAGGAUAGUAUUGUGAUAAGAGGAUGGAAACCAAGCUCUGCUCCGUGCUAGCUGUGCGACGUCGGGCAAGUAAGUCACUUACCCUCUCUGUGCCUGGGAUCUCCUCCUCUGUAAAAUAGUGAUGAUAACCAUACCUUACAUAUGGGGUCGCUGUGCAGAUCACAUGCGUUGCUAUAUAAAGCCUUACAACAGGGCCCAGGGCAGGAUGCAUUGUGAUUUAUGGAUCUGAGCAUGGGUAUCUGUCAAUGGUUCUAGAAAAUUCUUGGUUUACGUUGCUUUAAAUAUUAUCUCUUCUCCAUUCAAUGGGGCCUUCUCAGGACUCAUAGUACAUCUUUUUUUUAAUUUUUAAUUUUUUUCUAGAUUUUAUUUAUUUAUUCAUGAGAGUCACAGAGAGAGAGAGAGAGAGGCAGAGACACAGGCAGAGGGAGAAGCAGGCUCCUUGUAGGGAGCCCGAUGCGGGACUCGAUCCCAGGACCCCAGGAUCACAACCUGAGCUGAAGGCAGAUGCUCAAACACUGAGCCCUCAGGUGCCCCAUAGCACAUCUUUUAUAUUUCCAUCUCUUUGUCUCUGGAGGGUCCCCUGAAUAAUUUCCUUGGUUCUACCCUUCAGUUCACUGAGCUUCUAAUGUACUCUGUCUUGGUGCUUUGUGAUGAUUUGUGGAGACAAGCAGUGGUGCACAGUAAUCCAUCCUCUUCUUCUGUGUCAAUAGUCUCCCAGAUGGACACACGGCCCUUCAGCUAUAUGACCGUUCCCUCGCUCCUCUGUCAUUGGAUGUAGCCACGGGACUAAGUCUUCAGUGGAUGUGAGUGGAGGCGGUAUGCACCAUGGGACACACUUUUUCUCCUUCCUGACAGCUGGGAUAAUGUUGUUCAUUAUCUGUGGGACACAGCAGGUGCAUAAACUGUCACCGCUUUGCGAUGGGAUUAGUUAAAAUAUAGAAAAGCAUUUAGAUGUUUAUAUCAAUUCAGUCCCCUAAUGCUAUACCUGAGCAUUCUGG
rnacentral:lncRNA from 1 species